CCUACGGGGGGCAGCAGUGGGGGAUAUUGCACAAUGGGGGAAACCCUGAUGCAGCAACGCCGCGUGAAGGAAGAAGGCUUUCGGGUUGUAAACUUCUUUUGUCAGGGACGAAGCAAGUGACGGUACCUGACGAAUAAGCCACGGCUAACUACGUGCCAGCAGCCGCGGUAAUACGUAGGUGGCAAGCGUUAUCCGGAUUUACUGGGUGUAAAGGGAGCGUAGACGGCGGUGCAAGCCAGAUGUGAAAGCCCGGGGCUCAACCCCGGGACUGCAUUUGGAACUGUGCUGCUAGAGUGUCGGAGAGG
rnacentral:rRNA from 1 species